rnacentral:rRNA from 1 species
UAGGGAAUCUUCCGCAAUGGACGCAAGUCUGACGGAGCAACGCCGCGUGAGUGAAGAAGGAUUUCGGUUCGUAAAACUCUGUUGUUAGAGAAGAACAGCGCAUAGAGUAACUGUUAUGCGUGUGACGGUAUCUAACCAGAAAGCCACGGCUAACUACGUGCCAGCAGCCGCGGUAAUACGUAGGUGGCAAGCGUUGUCCGGAUUUAUUGGGCGUAAAGCGAGCGCAGGCGGUCAAUUAAGUCUGAUGUGAAAGCCCCCGGCUCAACCGGGGAGGGUCAUUGGAAACUGGUUGACUUGAGUGCAGAAGAGGAGAGUGGAAUUCCAUGUGUAGCGGUGAAAUGCGUAGAUAUAUGGAGGAACACCAGUGGCGAAGGCGUCUCUCUGGUCUGUAACUGACGCUGAGGCUCGAAAGCGUGGGUAGCAAACAGG